UCGUCUUCUGAAUCACUGUAUAUUAGCGGUACAGGACGUCGCUUUCGAAUCGCUAUACUGCUGCUAUCACUUUCGUCAUCAGUACUACUUGCUGAACGGCAGUCAAAACAAUCUGACAGGUCGUCGAGAUAAAAUUCACCGACACUAUCCUUUUCAUUCAUUUUUAAGGGCACAAAAGCUUAGAGAAAAGCACCGAUUAUCUGAAUAAAGAAUGCGAAAUGCUUGCUGCUUGCUACUUGUCAGUCUAGCCUAACCAAAUCUAACAGAAAGAUCAAAAGUCGAUUAAUCGACGACCGGUCGGUAAGCGCUGAGAACAAAACGUCGAUUAAUCGACGGCCGGUCGGUAAAGUGUUAAAAUAUACUAAAAUAGUAUGUACGUAUUUUUGAAGGUGAACAAUUAUUCUUUCGUAGAUAUUAUUAAAAAGAAUUAAAAGCGACUGUGUCGAAAGGGAGAGAUUCGUAGGAUCGCGUCGGGUAUCAACAAUAGCACCUCCCACCACUUUCCGCGCGCGUUUCGAACUCGCGGAUCGAAUCUCGAGCUCGAACGAAGGCGCGUUGCACAGUCUCGCGAUCGUCAUCGCGUAGAAACGUGAUUCUCGUUUACGAUAGUUACCACCACGACGUCGGUUUUACCAUUGGCUCGUAUUUGAUAUCGUGACACAACAACUGUGUCCUUGUGAAAAUAUAUAAAAUGCAAUUAUUGUGAAUUUAUUUAUUUCUUUUGUUUUUUAUUUUUUCGCAUAUUUGUAAGAACAAAUUCUUUUUCUUCUCUUUUUUCGCAAUUUCUACGACCCGUUGACAAAAGAAAGAACGAAUUUCAAAGAGGUGUCUAUAUAGCAUCACAAAAGGAAGGAGGAAGAUAGUCAUUUCGCAAAGAGAUCAUUCAAGGUAGUCUUUUUGAACGAACGCUUGCUGUUACCGUUUGCCUAGUGGUCGAUCAUCGGCUCGUUGAUCGACGCGUUGAUCCGGCUCCCUAGGUGGGAAGUUCAAAGCGGAAGAAGAACUUGGGGGAGAGAGAGAA
rnacentral:misc_RNA from 1 species